rnacentral:rRNA from 1 species
UCUGGUUGAUCCUGCCAGUAGUCAUAUGCUUGUCUCAAAGAUUAAGCCAUGCAUGUCUAAGUAUAAAUAGUAUACAGUGAAACUGCGAAUGGCUCAUUAAAACAGUUAUAGUUUAUUUGAUAAUUGACAAUUACAUGGAUAACCGUGGUAAUUCUAGAGCUAAUACAUGCUUAAACGCCCGACUUUAUGGAAGGGUGGUAUUUAUUAGACUGAAGCCAAUAUUCCUUGUGUCUAUUGCGGUGAUUCAUAAUAACUGAUCGAAUCUCUUUUUGAGAUAAAUCAUUCAAGUUUCUGCCCUAUCAGCUUUCGAUGGUAGUGUAUUGGACUACCAUGGCAGUAACGGGUAACGAAGAAUUAGGGUUCGAUUUCGGAGAGGGAGCAUGAGAAACGGCUACCACAUCUAAGGAAGGCAGCAGGCGCGUAAAUUACCCAAUCCUGACUCAGGGAUGUAGUGACAAGAAAUAGCAAACCGGGAACCUCAUGGUUUCACGGUAUUGCAAUGAGAACAAUUUAAAACCCUUAGCGAGAAUCAAGUGGAGGACAAGUCUGGUGCCAGCACCCGCGGUAAUUCCAGCUCCACUAGCGUAUAUUAAAGUUGUUGCAGUUAAAAGGCUCGUAGUUGAACCUCUGUCUGGGGCUAGUUUUGGCUUUUGUCAGGCUAGUUCUAGGCAUCCGCCUACAAGACUUAGAGGGCAUUCAGUUGUUCACUAGGAGGAGUAGGCAUUUUACUUUGAAAAAAUUAGAGUGUUUAAGGCAGGCAAUCGCCCGCAUAUAUUAGCAUGGAAUAAUAGAAUAGGACACUUUUCCAUUUCGUUGGUUAUUGGAAUCGUGUAAUGAUUAAUAGGGACAGUUGUGGGCAUUUGUAUUUAAUUGUCAGAGGUGAAAUUCUUGGAUUUAUUAAAGACAAACUAACGCGAAAGCAUUUGCCAAGGAUGUUUUCAUUAAUCAAUAACGAAAGUUAGGGGAUCAAAGACGAUCAGAUACCGUCCUAGUCUUAACUAUAAACUAUUCCGACUCAAUGUUUGACUGGCUUAUAUAACCAGUUGAGCGUUGUAUGAGAAAUCAAAGUCUUUAGGUUCUGGGGGGAGUAUGGUUGCAAAGCUGAAACUUAAAGGAAUUGACGGAAGAGCACAACCAGGAGUGGAUUCUGCGGCUUAAUUUGACUCAACACGGGGAAACUUACCAGGUUAAAACAAUAGUGGGAUUGACAGUUUGAGAGCGCUUUCUUGAUUGGUUGGGUGGUGGUGCAUGGCCGUUCUUAGUUGGUGGAGUGAUUUGUCUGCUUAAUUGCGUUAACGAACGAGACC